UCGGGGACAGAUUCUCAAGGAAUUGGCGGAGGGGCGCACAAGCGGUGGAUUAUGUGGUUUAAUUCGAUGAUACGCGAGGAACCUUACCAAGACUUAAAUGGGAAUUGACAGAUUUAGAAAUAGAUCCUCCUUCGGGCAAUUUUCAAGGUGCUGCAUGGUUGCCGUCAGCUCGUGCCGUGAGGUGUCAGGUUAAGUCCUGCAACGAGCGCAACCCCUGUCACUAGUUGCUACCAUUCAGUUGAGGACUCUAGUGAGACUGCCUACGCAAGUAGAGAGGAAGGUGGGGAUGACGUCAAAUCAUCACGGCCCUUACGUCUUGGGCCACACACGUAAUACAAUGGCCGGUACAGAGGGCAGCUACACAGCGAUGUGAUGCGAAUCUCGAAAGCCGGUCUCAGUUCGGAUUGGAGUCUGCAACUCGACUCUAUGAAGCUGGAAUCGCUAGUAAUCGCGCAUCAGCCAUGGCGCCGUGAAUACGUUCCCGCCCCUUGUACACACCGCCCGAAUCUU
rnacentral:rRNA from 1 species